rnacentral:lncRNA from 1 species
AAGACCUCAAUUCUUUGGAGAAAAAUGGAUGAAGUUCCAGGGAUGGAAUCCGAGUGAUCGCUAAGGCAAUUCAUAUAUUUUACCCACCUUAGGAUAACUGGUUUAGGAUUGGACAAACAAUCUCAGCUGCUUCAAUCAGACUCACUGUGCUGGAUAUUAGACCUUCGUCAGACACAUAGACCAGUGGAACAGAAUAGAGAACCCAGAAAUUAGAUCACUCAUCUUCAACCAUCCAAUCUUCGACAAACCUGACAAAAAGCAAUGGGGAAAGGACUCCCUGUUCAAUAAAUGGUGCUGGGAGAAAUGG